rnacentral:rRNA from 1 species
GCAAGUCGAGCGGUAACGAGGCGAAGCUUGCUGCCCGGUGUCGAGCGGCGGACGGGUGAGUAACGCUUAGGAAUCUACCUAGUAGUGGGGGAUAGCCCGGGGAAACCCGGAUUAAUACCGCAUACGUCCUACGGGAGAAAGGGGGCGAUUUGCUGAUCUUGCUCUUUUGUGAGCCUCUAUCUGAUUAUCUCUUUGGGGGGGUAAAGGCCUCCCCCGGCGACAAUAUGCAUCUGGGCUGAGAGGAGGAUCUCCCCCACCGGGACUGAGACACGGCCCGGACUCCUACAGGAGGCGCCACUGGGGAAAAUUGGACAAUGGGGGCGACCCUGAUCCCCCCCUGCCCCGCGUGUGAAAAAAGCGUUUUGGUUGUGAAGCACUUUUUCCAUUGGAAAAAACCUCUUGGGUAAUACCCCUUAGCGGUGACAUUUUCUGCACAAUAAACACCGGCUAACUCUGUGCGCCCACCCGCGGUAAUACACAGGGUGCGCGCGCUWAUCUCAAUUACAGUGCGUAUAGCGAGCGUAUGUGUCUUGAGAARUCAGAUGUGAGAUCCCCGGGCUUAUACUGUGAACUGCGUCUGAUACUGUGACGCUAUAAUAUGUGAGAGGAA